CCCAUAUUUCUUUUCCACAAAGGAAAAGAGCAUAUACACACAUAAAUUCCAUCCAAUUGGUGGCCCACAGUGAAGAAAAACAUAUACAAAAGGCCAUUCAUUUUUUCUUUUCUUCUUGACCAAUUCAUAUAUACAUAGAACAAACAAAAUACAAAAAUAGACACCUCACACCAUUAACAGAGGGCAACACACACUUGCCCUUUCGAAUAAAAACCUCACUGAAGUACUCACAGAGGGAGAGCACACUGACCCUCACGCAUAUCACACACACACACUUUAUUUUUUUUUUCUUCUCCACCGAGAAAACACACCCAGAUAUACACCAUUACACCACUCACACGGAGAUGGAAUACGUGCACACUCUCACUGAUUGAAGAGGUCACCAUUUUUCUAUUUUUCUUUAACAACGCACGACAACACCAUGGAGAGAAUACCUACAAAAAUAGAGAAAAGAAAACUCAAAUAAAACACACUACAAAUUGAAACCUCACCGGAAAAGUUCACUCACUCACUCACGAAUAGCUCACCAUACGCACACACGCCGUGUAUAAACACGCCACACACUGAAAACCGAGAGUUGAGGGUGUGAUCGGAGUAAUCGAGAAAGUGCGAUUCGAGUGAGAGAGAGAUCAAAACAGAGAGAAGGAUCGAAAGAUUGAGAGCAAAACACAAAGGGGAACCGAUUGGGAAGGAGGGUGGUGCGAUCGGAUUCCGGCAACGUCCAUCGAAAUCGUGGUUUGGUUCGGUUCUGCCUGAAAUCGGGUCGGGCUUUGGAUUUAUCCGUCUUCGCGAUUCAUUUUCAAUAUUGUGAUUCUCGGGUUACUCGAUUCAUGCCCGCGGAUUUCUGUUCGAAUUGGAUUUCGUGAAUAUUCCGUGUUUGGAGUUCGGUUGAUAGUCGAGUCGGUAUUCGUUGAGGUUCUCAGUACGGCUCUUUAUUCUCUUAUUCAAAUCAAUCGAAAGAGUCAUUGAGGUCCAAUUCUAUUUCAUUCUCAUUUUGAUUUCAUUAUAUACGCAUGAUUGAUGGAUAUCAUCUCAAUUUUCUCUUAUUUUAGGUGUGAUAUGAAUGAUUAAUUUGGAAUUAUUUGAUUGUGGAUUUUUGAAAAAUGGUAAUCGUGAACUGUUAUAUUGCAACUUUGAAUAAAAUUUGGGGGAAUUGAUAAUCGAAUAAGUAAAACGUUGAUUAGUUUUGAUUCAUUGUUGGAUAUUAUUGAAAUUGAUAGUAUCAUGUUUUAGAUCGUUAAAUGUGUAGGCAAAUACUAAGUUUGGGUAGGCAAAUUGUAGAAAUGGAAGAUGGUGACUUGUGGAAUGUGUGAAUAUUUGUUGAAUGGUUCUUUCUAUUUUAACGCAUAAAAUUGAGGAUGUAUUCAUUUUGCCGGGGAAUGCCCCGAGGUACUUGUAUCCAUUCAUCGAGAAAUAUUCCGACAUAUCAUGUACGCAAAGAAGGUUCGUGAUGAAGGCUUGAGGCAUCGGGUAAAGCAUUGGAGUAUAGUUUAGGAUUAGUCUAAAUAGGAUUUCUAUUUUUGUAUUGUUCUAUUUUUGGACUGUAUAAUUCGUACUGGACAUUAUUUUGAUUUUUGAAUUUUGAAUUGCAUGACAUGUACUUACUUUUUUUAAUAUGUGAAUGUGAAUUAGUUGAUUAACUUAAUUAUUUUAUGUAAAUAUUAAUGGCCUAAGUUUUGCCUAAAAUUGAUGAAAUUAUAUAAAUAAAGAAUAUCCCGACCGACACCCAAAAAGCAAAAUUUUCACUAUUUUUUUUUUGUUAUUUAUACAAGUGUGAGAAUAUAAAAUACAAUAUAAAAUUUAAGGGCCUCUUUGACUGCAACUCCCGACGAAUAUUUCAAAAUAACCUGUAUAAACACUAAAAAAAAAAGAAUAUUAGUAACAAAUAAUCAAAAUAAAUUGAACAAGCAUCAAAAUAAAUUGAACAAGUGUGUAUGCGUAUAAAUAUUUAAAAAUAUAUUUUUUAUUAAAAAGUGGGCUCAGAUAAUGUCAUGACUGCGAAAUGGUUGCUCAAUUAAUUGGCCGUUCUAAAUCGUCUUGCAACGAAGUGGUUGCUCAAUUAAUUGGCCGUCCUAAAUCGUCUUGCCAAGAUAUGAAUUGUAAAAUCUUGUGUUAUAAAGUUUCAUCAUCGCCCAAAAAAUAUUUAUUUAUUACGUAUGUAUACGUAAAAAGUCCGUCUUUUGUUUACGGAUGCCUCAAAAUUAAUAAUAAUUUUUUCAUUGGCCAAAUGUGUAGUAUCCAUUCACCAUCAGUGUAAAUAAAUGAGAAGGACAAAAAUCGUUCAAAAAUCACUCCAACAGCAGCAAACUCAAGGCAAACAAAAAUGGUCAAUAACAGUGAUAGUAAAAUAGCAAAGCUAACAGAGACAAACUCACUAUCUAAUUAAUUCAAAUAUCCAUCCAAACGGCUUUGACUAGAUCUGUGUAGUAAGAAAAAUAUUAGAGAAAAGGGGCGGCUCGUGGCUGUUUCUCGAUGUUGGUAGCGACUGUUGUAGUGGUUGACGGCGGCAGAUCUGGGAAGAAAUUCGAUGCUCAUCGGUCAUCACCUCCGGCUAGCUUGCGGCAAAAUGUAAAGGGAAAGCUUGUAGCGUGGGGGGUGGUAUUGUCGGACGGCUGUUUCAGGGAAGAAAAUUGUGUGGAGGUGGCGCGUGAGAUUGGAUGAACUGUUGAUAUCUACGGAGAAGACGAAAGCUUAAAAAUGAAAACUGUGUAGUAGGCAUCUAUAUAUAUAUUUAUAUGUGUGUCAUUGCUGUUGAUGGUAAAAAAUAAAACAAAAAUGGAGGUUGUUUUUCUAUGUAUGUGUGUGUUUAUGUGUUUUUAUAUAUAUUUUUUGUGAGUUUUUGAAGAGAAAAAUGAAAUAAAUAAAAUAUGCUUGUAUAUUUAUGAAUAUGUGUGUGAGUUUGCAAAGAAAAAAUGUUUAUGAGUUGUAAAAAAUAAAUAUAUGUGUAUUUUGAUAGAGAGGAAAAAAAUGAACAAAAAUGUGUGUCCAAAAUGUGUCCUCCCACCAGCUAUUUAUACAAAAAAUUGAGCACACCUUUUAUCCAAUGUAUAAAGGAGUGUCCUCUCUUUUUAUAAUAAAACACUCUUAGGUCCUUAAGUUAUUGGCCAAAGGAUUUUCAUCCUUUUGACCAAUGGACAAAGUAAUUAUCCAAAGGGUAGUGUCAUUGAUUGGUCGUUGUCAGAUGUGAUGAGACAACACUGAAUGGUCAUUUUCGGACGUGACAAGACAUUAUUGUGUAGUCGUUGUCGGAUGUGAUAAGACAUCGAAUUAUUAUACUGCACAAAAAUAAUUGAUCCGAUUGAGUAUUUGCGGACUGUAAAAUAUAGAUGUUGAAUGAAAAAUGUAAAGAAUAUUAAAAUAUAAUUAAUUUAAAAAUACUAUAUAUAUAUAUAUAUAUAACGUCAUGUCGUGCACAUGCGCAAAUAUUUGUAAAAUAAUAAAUUGAUAAGAAUAAGAAAAAUUAUUAAUAAAUUAUAAAGAGUAAAAAAUCCUAAAGUAAGGAUGAAAAUCAAUAAUUUGUUAUCAAUUGUAAAAAAUAUGUGGAAGUUGUAUUUUGUGUCUUUUAACGGUCAGGAAGCCUGAAUACGUUAUUUUUAAGCACGGAGAGCAAAAAUUGGGUGUCAACAACUACGCGUGACCUGAUUCUCCCCUCUCGGAGGUGAGAUACGUAGGCUGCCCUAUUUUGGGAUCGUCCAACCAAAUAAAUAAUUUAGAAUCACCCAAUCAAAAGAAACUGGGGCAUGAUUUAAUCCUCGUUGUUUAAGUCGAUUCCAAAAGUUGUAAGUCCCACCCUACUUCAAGUGUCGUUUGGGCCUCAUGUCAUCUUUUUCUUCUAACCUUAUUCAAAAGCCAAGCUACAACCAAAGAAAGACCUUCAGAUCAAUCUUUGAGAAUGUUAAGACUAAGCAUGCAAUGAAUGAGAUGACACAUUUUAGGAACUACUUGUUUACCUCAGCAAUAAGAAUCGGAAUGAGAGAGUCUUAUUGGUGAAAACCCUCACGGGUACCGUAAGGCGAUGGUAAGUUGAGAGAAAUAAAAAUGAGAGUCUUAUUGGUGAAAACCCUCACAGGCACCAUAAGACGACUGUGAGUUGAGAGAAAUGAAAAUAAGAGAGUCUCAUUGGUGAAAAAACCUCACGGACAUAAAGGCAAUGGUGAGCUGAGAGAAAGGCAGAGGCUUGUUGGCGAAAAACCUUCAAGGCGCCACUAGCCGAAUGAGAUCUAAAUACAAUUGACCUAAGGAAGCAACUCAGUUUUGAGGCCAUUAACUCAAAAACAAUUGGUAGGAAGUUUGGAUGAAAAGGUCAAGCUGCUUAAUCCAAAAUGCAUGGCAUAUUCAUUAGAGUUGAUUGUCAUUUUUAGAUGAAUUUUUCAUUUCUUUGUUUUAAAGGGGGACAUUUAUUGUCGACAUUUAUUGUCUUUUCUUUCUUCUUUUUAUUUUUAUUUUAUUUUCUUUGGUCAGUUGUCCAAAUAAAAAUCAUUGUCAUUUUUAUCUUGUCUUGGAGUCAAGUCCAUGUCAAAACAAGUGAGAAAAGAUUUCAAAACUGCCUACCAGCUUCUUUAAUUGCACAAAGCAAGACAAAAGGGUCAGUACAUGAAAAAGACAUGAUUGUGAGCCGAAAUAAGGCAUACAAAAUUUUGUCAACAGACAAGUCUGGGAACUUAUGGAAAUACAAAAGAUCAAAGGGUUUAUCUGAAAAGCAUGGCAAAGCAGAGAUACUGUGUUUGUUUCAGAGUCGCUCUUAAUAAUCUGAGUUUGGGUCAAUGAUGCAGCAAGUCAAUGGCAUAUGCUAAUGGUUGGAAGCAAGGUUAAAUGUGACCGGGGCAAGAGCGAUUGCCGCGAAAGCUAAAGACACAAACCAGCCACCAUGUUUUUAAACUAACAAGUUUUUUUUUUGUAUGAAACAGGAACACAUGUUACCUUCAAAUCGAGAAUUUCAAAGCCUAAACAUCAAAAGUUGCAAUGCUCACCUACACAAAUGCAGGAGAUAAUAUUGUUGCACAGGUUUGGUAAUCAAAACCAUGGUAAAACUCAUCAUCCAAUAUCUCUAGGAGACACACUUCCUUGUUUGGAUAAUUCAAGAGACAUUUGUAAGGAGAUGCACUUCCUUGUUGGGCAAUGCAAGUGACAUUUGUAAGGAGACACACUUUCUUGUUUUGGUAAUUCAAGCAGCAUUUGUAAGGAGAUGCACUUUCACAUUUGGGUAUCUCAAGCGGUAUUUGUAAGGAGAUUCACUUCCUUAUUUGGUAAUUCAAGCAACAUUUGUAAGGAGACGCACUUCCUUGUUUGGGUAAUUCCAGCAACAUUUGUAAGGAGACACACUUCUUUGUUUGGUAAUUUAAGCAACAUUUGUAAGGAGACAGACUUUCUUGUCUGGAUAAUUUCAGCAACAUUUGUAAGGAAACGUAUUUCCUUGUUUGGGUAAUUCCAGCAACAUUUGUGAGGAAACACACUUCUUUAUUUGGUAAUUCAAGCGGUAUUUGUAAGGAGACACACUUUCUUGUUUGGGCAAUUCAAGCAACAUUUGUAAGGAGACACACUUCCUUGUUUGGGCAAUUCAAGUGACAUUUGUGAGGAGACGCACUUCCUUAUUUUGGUAAUUUAAGCGGCAUUUGUAAGGAUACGCACUUUCUUGUUUGGGUAAUUUAAGAGACAUUUGUUAAGAGAUGCACUUCCAUGUUUUGAUAAUUCAAGCGACAUUGGUAAGGAGACACACUUCCUUAUUUUGGUAAUUCAAGCGGCAUUUUUAAGAAGACGCACUUUCUUGUUUAGGUAAUUCAAAAUACAUUUGUUAGGAGACGCACUUCCUUGUUUUGGUAAUUCAAGCAACAUCUGUAAGGAGACGCACUUUCUAAUUUGGGUAAUUCAAGCGACAUUUGUAAGGAGACGCACUUUCUUGUUUUGAUAAUUCAAGAUACAUUUGUUAUGAGAUGCACUUUCUUGUUUUGGUAAUUCAAGCAACAUCUGUAAGGAGACGCACUUCCUUAUUUGGAUAAUUCAAGCGGCAUUUGUAAGGAGAUGCACUUCCUGAUUUUGAUAAUUCAAGCAACAUUGGAGCCCGCCCAAAGCACAGGGUGAAUAAAUGGAAGGUCAAAUAAAAAGGUGAAGAAAUUGAAAGUCAAAAAAUUGAAAAAUAGCAAGUCAGGAGCCCACCUGGAGAUCAGGUUGAAGAAAUUGAAAGUCAGGCAACACGUUGAAGAAAUUGCAAGUCAGGAGCCGGCCUGAAGAAUAGGGGGAUGAAACUCAAGUCAAGAGUCCAAAAGAAGCUACAUAGAUAGGAUUUUUGUAAUUUUAUUUAUGUUUUAACUUGUAAUUUUUUAUUUUUGAUGUAAUGACAGAGUCGUGGACCGAAACCUCGAUGGGACCUCACUCGACUCUCCAACUCGGUAUAGUCUCUCUUCUUCCAACCCUUUGAGAUACAUGUAACUUGAUUCCCUCAUAACUUGGGUAGAAAGGACGUCCUAAGACAAGACUUGGUUGCCUUUUUUCUUUCUGUUUCGUUCCUUGAAUAAUGGUUGGGUCAAAAUUUUGUCUCGUUAUCUACUUUUUUUUUCUGAAAACACUUUGUGUUUGCACCCAAAAAGGGGCAUGAUUUAGACACCUAAUUUUGCCCCUCCCAAAACCCAAUUCAUCUAUUUUUACCACACAUUAUCAUACACUCUCACCCAUGUGAUUACACCCCACAAAAAUACAAAAAAAAUUAACAGCCCUUAACAAAUCUCUAACAAACUUUAUCUUGUUUUAAUCAUCCUAACAACCUACCCUUACUCCACCCCUACCCCACCUCACCCACAUAACCACUCCUCCUCCACAUUUCUUUUCCACAAAGGAAAAUAGCAUAUACACACACAAAUUCCAUCCAAUUGGUGACCCACAGUGAAGAAAAACAUAUACAAAAGGCCAUUCCAUUUUUUCCUUUCUUCUUGACCAAUUCAUAUAUACACAGAACAAACAAAAUACAAAAAUAAAUACCUCACGCCAUUAAAAAGGGACAACACACACCUGGCCAUUCGAACAAAAACCUCACUGAAAUACUCACAGAGGGAGAGCACACUGACCCUCACGCACAUCACACACACACUCCAUUUUUCUUUUUCUUCUCUACCGAGAACACACACCCAGAUAUACACCAUUACACCACUCACACGGAGAUGGAAUACGUGCAUACUCUCACUGAUUGAAGGGGUCCCUAUUUUUUCAUUUUUCUUUAACAACGCACGACAACACCAUAGAGAGAAUACCCACAAAAAUAGAGAAAAGAAAACCCGAAUAAAACAUACUACAAAUUGAAACCUUACCGAAAAAGUUCACUCACUCAUAAAUAGCUCACCAUACGUACACACGUCGUGUAUAAACACACCACACACUGAAAAUAGAGAGUUGAGGGUGUGAUCGGAGUAAUUGAGAAAGUGAGAUUCGAGUGAGAGAGAUAUAAAAACAGAGAGGGGGAUCGAAAGAUUAAGAGCAAAGCACAAAGGAGAACCGACUGUGAAGGAGGGUGGUGCGAUCGAAUUUCGGCAAUGUCCACUGGAAUCGUGGUUUGGUUCGGUUUUGCCUGAAAUCAGGUUGGGCUUUGGGUUUAUUCGUCUUCGCGAUUCAUUUUCAAUAUUGUAAUUCUUGGGUUACUCUAUUCAUGCCCGUGGAAUUCUGUUCGGAUUGGAUUUUGUGAAUAUUCCGUGUUUGGAGUUCGAUUGAUAGUCGAGUCGGUAUUCGUUGAGGUUCUCGGGACAACUCUUUAUUCUCUUAUUCAAAUCAAUUGAAAGCGGCAUUGAGGUCCAAUUCUAUCUCAUUCUCACUUUGAUUUCAUUAUAUACGCGCGAUUGAUGGAUAUCAUCUCAAUUUUCUCUUUUUUUCGGUGUGAUGUGAUGAUUAAUGUGGAAUUAUUUGGUUGUGGAUUUUUGAAAAAAGGUAAUCAUGAACUGUUAUAUUGCAACCUUGAAUAAAAUUUGGGGGAAUUGAUAAUCUAAUAAGUAGAACGUUGAUUAGUUUUGAUUUAUUGUUGGAUAUUGUUGAAUUGAUAGUAGCAUGCUUUAGAUCGUUAAAUGUGUAGGAAAAUACUAAGUUUGGAUAGGCAAAUUGUAGAAACAGAAGAUGGUGACUUGUGGAAUGUGUGAAUAUUUGUUGAAUGGUUCUUUCUAUUUUAACGCACAAAAUUGAGGAUGUAUUCAUUUUGCCGGGGAAUGCCCCGAUGUACCAAAUAUCGUCAACAAUGAAAUAGAAAGAAUGAAAGAGUAGAAUUGGAUCUCAAAUGUUUCGAUUGUGGUUGCUCCUUUCGAUUAGAACCGUGUCCAAAGUCUCAAACUGAACCUCAAGAAUCAACAAGCUCAACUCGAUAUCGCAAGUCACCACCCAAACAGAUUUGAAACCAUCAAGCAAAUUCACUAUCAACUCUCGAAUCGAGGACUUCAAACAGAAAUAACAAACCCCAAAGAUGAAAUUUCAACCUCAAACCCCAAAAGUAAAAAAAAAACCCAGAUCGAAAUGAUUCAAUGAUAGACGACGACCCGAUUCCAACACAAAACCCACGAUAGACAGUGGACAAUACUCCGCUUGGUAUCGAGAAAUGAAGACCCAAAACAGACCACAACGAACCCAAAUCAAAGACAACGAACAACCCAAAUCCAAAAUGAAUCACAAAUCAAUAGCAAGAUUGCGAAUUCACAACCCAAAUUUAUUCAGACAGAUAUCGCAAAAACAAAGACCAACCCGAACCCAAUAUCGAUCUCCCUAAUCCUUCACUCACUGAUUUUUCCUAUCCACUGGUUUCUGCUUAUCUCCUUCGUUUCUCUCUCUCUCUUUGUUCUCUCUUAAUCCCCCGUCACUGGUAUGUGCGUGCGUUUUUGGGUGUAUUCGAAAAAAAAAGAAGAAAUGGGAAGGGAAUCGCGUCACCUCAUCUCCAAAGAAGGAGAAACCAACAAAAUGGCGUCACUGUGUAUCCAUCCCCCCUGGUUUUUGUAAGUGUGUAUGUAUAUAUAUGCUGUGGGAAUUCCUUGUAGUGAGAGUGUGGACGAUGGUGUCUCUCUAUGGAAGAUCAUCUAUGGUGUUCUUCCGAAAAAAAUGGUGGCUCUCAGUGUUGUGUUUUUUUCCCGAAAAAAAAAAGAAAAAGAAGCCCCCCCCCCCAAAAAUGUUUUCUCCUCUUGGUCUCUCCUUUUCACUGUAUCCAUUCUCCUCUUUAAUUUUAUUUUUUGCUUUUUCUUUAUAUUGUGUCAUAAUUGUAUGAAUAUCAUUGGUGGCUUGUGGGUAUAUGUGUGUGGUAUGUGUAAAAUUAGGUAUGACAUGUGGAAAGAUGAGUGUGGCGUGUGGCAAAAUGAGUAGGGCGAAUGAAAAAUAAGGGGUGAGGUAUUGAGGUGACAUGGUGAAGUGGAUGCAAAUAGAAAUAAAAAUAAAAAUAGAAUAAAAAUAAAAUAAAUAAAAUAAAAAUAAAAAUAGAAAUAAUUAAAAUAUUUUUUUUGGGAUGGACAAAAUUACGUGUCUAUAUAUUGUCCUGUAUCAGUCUGUUUAGCACAAAAACAACUUGACUUGGAUCUAUUAGUGAUACGAGUACGACCACGAGGAUGCACGUAUGUGAGAAUGCAUUGGACCCGUCCAAUAAAGCAUCCAAUUCAGUGUGGAGAAGACCUUGUAUCACACCAAAACCGACCCUAAACUUGCACUCCAAGGGCGCGCUUUUCAUUAAAGGGACCUUUUGGUCAUUUUACCUAUUAUUUGUAACAUACUAUAAAUAGAAUAAUGUAGGGUUUUAGUCAUUAGUUUUGAUGAAUAUUAAAAGUUGUAGACACUUAGACAUUUCUCUCUUGUGAGAAAGGCCCCUAUGGCCAAACAUUGUAACUAGGGAUUUCAACUUGAGUGUGGAAUCACUUGUGUUGGAUUCAAGCUUGGAAAUGUUGGAUGCUUGGGAGAUCGAGGUCCCUCUUGUGCCACGNNNNNNNNNNNNNNNNNNNNNNNNNNNNNNNNNNNNNNNNNNNNNNNNNNNNNNNNNNNNNNNNNNNNNNNNNNNNNNNNNNNNNNNNNNNNNNNNNNNNNNNNNNNNNNNNNNNNNNNNNNNNNNNNNNNNNNNNNNNNNNNNNNNNNNNNNNNNNNNNNNNNNNNNNNNNNNNNNNNNNNNNNNNNNNNNNNNNNNNNNNNNNNNNNNNNNNNNNNNNNNNNNNNNNNNNNNNNNNNNNNNNNNNNNNNNNNNNNNNNNNNNNNNNNNNNNNNNNNNNNNNNNNNNNNNNNNNNNNNNNNNNNNNNNNNNNNNNNNNNNNNNNNNNNNNNNNNNNNNNNNNNNNNNNNNNNNNNNNNNNNNNNNNNNNNNNNNNNNNNNNNNNNNNNNNNNNNNNNNNNNUUUCUAGUGUUAGUUUUCUUCAUCUCUAACACUCUUGAGUCUAAAUAUAAGUUUGAGCUUACAUUGUUGGUGUUGUUUUUGUGAACAUAAGGCGUGGCCGAAUUGUUGUUGAAACAUUGUUGUGGUGGACUGUUUUGGCCUUGUGGUCUUCAUCUUGCUGUUGUUCUAAGCUUGGCCACGUGAUAUUGUUGUUCAUUGGUGGCCCAAGAACCAUUUUGUUGAAAUUGUAGUUGUCUUGGCCAAGUGUUAAAGAUAUUGUAUUGUGAAAAUUGGAAGUUGGUCGUGUGACAAUUGUCGUAUUUUUGUGUAGACACGUGAUUUUUGACCCUCCCCGAGUUUUAACCUAUUUAUCGGAAUUAAAUAUUUUAUUCGCUUUGAUAUUAUUUUAAUUCUUAUUUUAUUUUUAAUAAAUUUUUAGUUAAAAAUAAAUAAAUAAAGUUAUAUUUUGAUAUAUUUUUUAUUUAUUUUAUUUUUAUUUUAAAAAUAAUACAAAAAAGAAAUUCAAAAAUAUAUUUCAUUAUUUUUAAAUAAAUAGACUACUAGUUUUAGUAUUACCUUAAUUAUAGUUAUUUUAAAUUAUAGUAUUUUCUUAAAAUAUAAAAAAUAAUAUUCUUUUAUUUGUAUUAUUUAUUAAAAAAAAAAAGAAGAUAAAUCUUAUCCUAUGAAACUACCCUAACCACCCCCGUAAUUUCUCUCAACCUCCCUCUACUUCCCAACCCCCUACACCCUGUAUAUUGUCACACACACGAAAAAAAAAAAGAGAACACUCAUGGACAAAAAACAAAAGGGAGAGGAACAUAUUUUUAAAAAGUGGAGGAAAUAUUUGAAAAACAAGAAAACAAAAACAAGGAGAAAAACAAAAAAUCAGUAGUGAAGACAAGAAAGAAGGAAGAAAAAAAAAAGUAGUGGAUUGAGUUCAGGUUUCGUUUCAGUUUUUGGUGAUAUCGAUCGUAAUCCUAUACUAUUUACUGUAUAAAUUCUAUUGUGAAUCAAAGCAUAAGUGCAGAUAUUUAAAUAGUGUCAUGCGUUACUUAAUGUUUAGAACCUUUCUUAUUAUCGUAUGCUAUUUGUUUAUGAUUAUCUUUGUACAGUAUUAAUGAUAUGAUAUUUGUAUUUGACUAAUUGUAUACAGAUUUUUGGUUAAAUAUAUUUCGUUAAUAUAGAUUUCUAUGUUUAGUUAUUUAUUAAAAUUAAAGAAGUUAAAGACCAUGUAUUAAAUCUUUUAUAAGUUUCAAACUCUAGGAAUUAUUUUGUUGAAUAAUCCGAUGAUUAACUGCAUGAAACGUAGUCAGGAAAAGUUGCUAGCUUUAUUUGUUCAUAUAUAUAUAUAUAUAUUUAUUUGUGAUCAAGAAUGAGAUAUCUUUUAUCUAAAUACAGAUCAAAAGUGAUAAAUUAGUAUGAACUGUGCAAUGCCAUAGUAGAUAGGAUCUAUAUUAUAUUCUUUCAUAGUAGAAUAUAAUUGAUAUAUAGCAAAAUAUGACAAUUCAUGUGUUUCCAAGAGUCGUUAAAUUUUGGCUUUUAUAUAUUAUUAAUUCUUCGUGGCCCAAUAAAUAUCAUUAUUUAAUUUGUUUAGAAAAAUAUUUUCCAUACAUUUAUCACCAAUAUAUUAUAGAGCAACGAGUAUAUAUAAAAUAAUAAACAUUUGAUAUUUUUGGUUAUGAUACAGUAAUAUUAGUUUUACUAACUUUCUACGUCAAGAAAGCAAGUUAUGUUAAUUACUAAAUAGAUAUAUAGUGGGACCGAUUGCAUCGAUAUAUUGAUUCAGUAAGUUAUUUAUUAUUCUUAAGAGUAUAAUCUAACUUGCCUUUAUGGUAUUAUUUAAAUUAUUCAACUUGUCAGUAAUUAAUUAGUAUGAGAUGAUUAAAUUGGAACUUGCCCUAGGCCUUCACAUUUUUCACAAUUUUUACUUUUUUCACGAAAUACCUUCUACUUUUACACUAUAUAGCCAUCUAGUAAUUGUAUAAAAGAAAACUUUUUGUAAGAUAAAAAGCGAAAAAGAAUAAUAUAAAUUGUUUCGAAUUUUCAAGAAACGGAACUAAUGUCUUUAACACUAGACAAAUUUUAGGCACGUUUAAAAUUUUCGUCUUAAUUAAGAAUGCGGCAUACGCAUCUUUCUGAGACAUUUAAAAUUCAAAGAUGUAAUAAUGCACUUUGAUAAAUAUUUUUCUAAAAAUUAAUUAACUCUCACCGAUUUAUUUAAUAUAAGAUAAUAGACAAGUUUUUUAGUAUAGUAAAAUGAGCGAUUUUAGGGCCUACUAACAUAAUCUGUCAAAAUAAUUUAUGUCAGGAUAAGUCAAUAAAAGCGACCGUGAUAGAACCACGGGAUUCGAGGGAUGCCUCAUACCUUCCCCUCGGUCAACAGAAUUUCUUACCCAGUCUUCUAUUUUUGCGGACCAAUAAAGAGUCAUUUCCUUUUGAUUAGGGAUUCAAAAAGGUGACUUGGAACACGAUAACUCAAUUCCAAGUGGAGACUCUGUAAAUAAAUUCAUCCCUAUUCAAAAUCGUCACUUAAAUUGAAAAAACCCUUCGACUCAACGCCCUCCGAGCGAAAAAGGGGUGUGACAUUUUGGAGAUUAUUGUUGGUUGUUCUUGGUGAUUGUUGAUGUUGUUCUUAAAGUUCUUCACAACCUUCAUAGCUUGUUAAUAUAAAGUGAACAUUAGAUCUAUAAAGGUGAAGGAAAAAGGGGUGAAGCUUUGUUAGUCUUGAAAGACUUCCCAUCACUCAUCAAAUAGUCAAUCAUAUAUCAACCACUUUUCAACAACUUUCCAUAAAAUAAGGGUCCAUGUUAUAAGGAAAAGUACAAGAAAGUCAAAGUCUUGAAAACUUGACUUUGAAAAUGCUUCAAGACUUGUUUGAAUUUCCCUUCUUAAAAUAAAUUCCACCAAUUCCUAAAUUGUAAAUUGACCAAGACUUGAAAUUGGACAACAACAACAAAAAAAAAUUGUUAGAAACCGCAACCAAUUACAUGCUGCCACAUCAUCAUUACUAUUGUUCACGCAACAUAUUUAAGCUCAAAUUUUAGAUUUCUUAGUUUCCUUUUAUUGUUCCUUAGUUCCAAUUUCGUUGGUUUCAAUACUAAUUGGCAAACUAGUACUCAUCUACUAGAUUUUAGUUAGUCUUUGUGUUCGUUCAUUCGUGUUAAAUGUUUGUUGUGUGCUUUUCACUUUUGUGAAUUCGUUGUAUCUUGUUGGUUCAAGUCCGUAAAUAAAUUUUAUUUGAGUCAACUCAAAUGAAAAUUCAUUUCGGACAAGAGUAGACUCGACCCUCAAUCACUCACGAAGUACAAGCCGGUUUUCAACAUUUCUAAAACCAAGUGUGAGGUAAAACCAAGAGUGAGAGUGUGGUGAGGCAUUUUGAACUAACAAGUUUGUUUUGUUGUUUGUUAUUGUACUUUGCUUUAGGUACAAUUGCUGCCACUAAUCUUGAUGUCACAUUUGAUCGUGAUACAAGUCAAAUGGCCACCUUAAUUUUUGAAGACAUAAUUGGAGGUCAUCAUUUAAAGGUUCAAGACUUGGUCACCCCGAUGACACAAGAAUAUACAAGGAAGACCCAUUUUGAGCACAAGCAAGGUUGUGUGUAGAAGAUUACUUGGAGCAUCGAAGACUUGAGGACUCACGAUUUUGGACAGCACUUAAUGGGUCAUGAUUUGGUUAUCUUGAUUAAGGGUAUUUUGGUCACUUCAUUGGGUCCAAAUGCACUCCAUGGCCACCCAACCUUUUAAGGGCAUUGUUGUUAUUUUGCCUUGUCUUGUAAUAGAAUAUAAAUAGAACAUUUUAGGUCAUUUUCUCGUUAGUUUUUCAUUGAUGUAAGACUUGAAACAUUAAACACCUUUAGUUGUCAAGCUUGGAAUAGCCACCCCCAUCGAAAUGAGGGCAACAAGUGUGGAUAUCACUUGUGUUGCAAUGUUGGCUUGAGACGUUGGUGUUUAAAGGAGGUAAAGUUCCUCUUGUGUCGACGUAGGAGUUAGGUUAACCGUUGUGUGUAGUGUUAAGGGUCCGAGAUUACCAUAUUCUUGGAUUCUUAAGAUUAUACCAAGCAAGGUCUAACUAUCUAUCCAUUUUAUUUAUGUUGUAAUCAUUUGUUUGUGUUCUUGUAAUUCAAAUCCGU
rnacentral:lncRNA from 1 species